rnacentral:rRNA from 1 species
GAUGAACGCUGGCGGCGUGCCUAAUACAUGCAAGUCGAGCGAACAGACGAGAAGCUUGCUUCUCUGAUGUUAGCGGCGGACGGGUGAGUAACACGUGGGUAACCUACCUAUAAGACUGGGAUAACACCGGGAAACCGGGGCUAAUACCGGAUAAUAUUCUGAACCGCAUGGUUCAAUAGUGAAUGACGGUUUCGGCUGUCACUUAUAGAUGGACCCGCGCCGUAUUAGCUAGUUGGUAAGGUAACGGCUUACCAAGGCGACGAUACGUAGCCGACCUGAGAGGGUGAUCGGCCACACUGGAACUGAGACACGGUCCAGACUCCUACGGGAGGCAGCAGUAGGGAAUCUUCCGCAAUGGGCGAAAGCCUGACGGAGCAACGCCGCGUGAGUGAUGAAGGUCUUCGGAUCGUAAAACUCUGUUGCUAGGGAAGAACAAAUUUGUUAGUAACUGAACAAGUCUUGACGGUACCUAACCAGAAAGCCACGGCUAACUACGUGCCAGCCGCCGCUGUAA